GACGAACGCUGGCGGCGUGCUUAACACAUGCAAGUCGAACGGAAAGGCCCUGCUUUUGUGGGGUGCUCGAGUGGCGAAAGGGUGAGUGACACGCGAGUAAACUGUCCUUUUCUUUGGGAUAACUUCAGGAGAAUCGGGUUAUUAUCGGAUAGGAGCUCCUGAUGCAUGGUGGGGGUUGGAGAAUUUCGGCGGUUGGGGAUGUACUCGUGGUUUAUCAGCGUGUUGGUGAGGUGGUGGCUUACCAAGGCUUGGACGGGUUGCCGGCCUGAGAGGGUGACCCGCCACAUUGGGACUGAGGUGCCGCCCAGACUCAUACGUGAGGCAGCGGUGGGAGAUAGUGCACGAUGGGCGGAGGCCUGAUGCAGCGACGCCGCGUGCGGGAUGACGGCCUUCAGGUUGUAAACCGCGUGCGCCUGUGACGAAGCGUAAGUGACGGUAAUGGGUAAAGAAGCACCGGCUAACUACGUG
rnacentral:rRNA from 1 species